rnacentral:rRNA from 1 species
UACAGAGGUCCCAAGCGUUGUUCGGAUUCACUGGGCGUAAAGGGUGCGUAGGCGGUCGGGUAAGUCUGAUGUGAAAUCUCACAGCUUAACUGUGAAACUGCAUUGGAUACUAUUCGGCUUGAGAGUUGGAGGGGGGACUGGAAUUCUUGGUGUAGCAGUGAAAUGCGUAGAUAUCAAGAGGAGCACCAGUGGCGAAGGCGAGUCCCUGGACAACUUCUGACGCUGAGGCACGAAAGCUAGGGGAGCAAACAGG